GCCAGAGUAGUGUAGUAGUUUGAAUGUUGGACUAUGACUCUGGGAACUAGGGUUCAAAUCCCCACUUAGCCA